CAUUUAUAGAAAAUAACAAUGUUCACAUCAAUAACACUGUAUGAGUUGUGUGUCAUUGUCCUAUACAUAUCUCAGGGAUGCAUGACAGAUGUGGUUUUAAAACAGAAACUAUCAGAAAUUGCAAAGGUUGGGUCAUCUAUUGAAUUAGAGUGUGUGGUUAGUGGAUAUAAUAUUAAUGAUCACCAUAUGUAUUGGAUACGCCAAGCUUAUGGGUCAGAAACACUUGCUUGGUUGGCAGCCUUCAGAACUGGUUAUGAAACCUAUAUUGCAGACAGUUUCAAGGGGAGAGUCACCCCUUCAACAAGUGGUUCUACAGCUCUUCUGAGGAUCAACCAGCUGUCAGAUUCAGACUCUGCCAAAUAUUUCUGUGCAAGAUACACAGUGAUAAAUCUGAAUCUGAGCACCAGGAAAUAUAUAUUUAUACAAAGACAAUUUCAAUUUCAAAUGUCAUAG